rnacentral:misc_RNA from 1 species
UCCGAUCCUUCACAACUUCCUGGUGCUCUCGAGCCUGGUGUAGCCGAGGAUGCAGUUGGCGUAGGCCACGUUCCGGAGCGCCUUGCCGCGCCACUUGGCGACGCCGGAGCGGAGCGCCUUGAGCAGGCAGUCCGCCGUCCUGAGCACGCCCCUGACGCCCAUGGGCAGCGACAGGUAGGGCGCGUUGAAGAGGUGGUACUCGAGGGACGCCGCGGCGGCCUGCUGCUGCUGCUGCUGCUGCUGGCGCGGCGAGGAGGCCACGAGCAUCCGGACGACCUGGCGCGCGAAGCCGGCGCCCAGGGAGUGGCCGCAGACGCAGACGUUCUCGGAGCCGAAGCGGUCGACGGUGGCGCUGAGCGCCUGCGCGGCGCGCGCGAGCCGCGCGGAGCCGCGGAGGCUGUCCCGGGCCAGCAGGCGGAGCCGGUCCUCGACGUCGCGGCGGAUGGUGGGGGCGCGCAGCAGCGCGCCGCGGAACGCGACGACGGCGCUGGGCGCGCCGCUCGGGGUCGGGGUCGGGCUGGCUUGGUGGUCGCGCUCGAAGACGGCGCCGAACACGGAGCCGUCGCGGUCGUCCACCAGCUCGUGCGCCAGGCGGAACUGGAACGGCUCCCACCACUGCUGCGCCACCGCCGCCGCGUCGCGCCGCUCCUGCCGCUCCAGCUCCAGCAGGUACACCGCCUCGAUCAGGUACGCCAUCACCAUCCGCCUGUAGUCGUCGUCCCUCCAGCUCGUGUUGGUGAGCUCUGUCCAUGUAGUAGUAGUAGUAGCAGUCGUCGGGCAGGCCGGGGAGCUCGCUUGCUGCGCCAUUGCCGUUGGUGUGUCGUAGGGAAUGCGUGGCGGGGGAUGCGGGCAAUAUAUACCCCGACCCCGACUCCCCCAGGCCUCACGCCGGAGGGUAGCAGGGGGUGUACAGGAUGACGCCGAAUUUGCUUAGCUAGUGCCUAGUGGAGCAAAGCCCCCGUGGCCUUUUUUUUAAUUGCCGGGAAUAAAUAAAAGGGCAGAACAAAGCGCGAUCGUCCGGGGGCCGUCCCCUCCUUUGUUCUCAGUUGGACUGAAUCGACUGGAUCGGACCGCACACGAGAUCUCGAUCGGUCGGCAUCUGGCGCGGGUGGAUGGCAGCCAACGCGAGCAAUAGUUGCCGCCAGGCUGCAAAGGCGGGAGGGCGAGGCACGACGGACGAUAAUGCGCUUUUGGGCAGGGAGCAUAUAUUCGGCCUGGCACCGUACUAAGGCGUGCACCGUACCAAGGACGGACGAUGGUGAAGGAACGAAUCAUUUCGCGUGGGCGUCGUAUGACAGGUAGGUCAGGUCAGGCUGCGGGGACAGACAGCAUGGAUCUCUAAUGUUGUAUAUCCAUCUGCCUGACGCCUGCGGGGUGCCGGCUAGCUAGCUGCGGCCUGGCAUGGUUGCUCCGCCUGUUGCCGUGGUUGGUGUCGUCACGCAACGGCGAUCGACGGGUAUCGGUGAGCCGGUACCGAGAUAUUUCCGACCUGGCGCUGCCGGUGAGAAUCGCGGGGUAAGCUACCGCGCCAAUAUCAGGUAUUCAGGUUUUGCACCACCCCUGCAACCAUCUCCAGUAGGCGACGUAAACGGACGUGCAAAGUGUUGAAAUAUUAGAUAUUUUUUAGAUUAAAUUCUAAAUAUAAAUCAUGACCAAAUCAGAAGAGCUGAAGUAUAAAGUUAAAUUAGAUGAUACGUACUGAUCAGACAUAUUGGAAGAUGACGCGGACCGAAAGCAGCAGGGUCGACGACGUCGAAACAGCGGGGCCGAUGACGUCGAAGGAGCAGGGUUCGACGACAAGAUCGCGAGCAGUCGCGUGAGGACGCUUUCUAAAAACCUUAUUCGCCCUCUAUCGGUGCAGGAUCUCGAAGGCGAAGGGUUCCGGAGACCUGCUCUCCCGAGCGCAGAUGCACGUCGGCGGUCGGGAUGAAGAGAACUACGAUGACAACGUAGUUGUGAGCAGAGACGAAAUUUUGGAUGAAUUCCUUAUAGCGAUCGGUUAGGAUUCUAAACUUAACAGCCAAGCAACCAAAAAAUAAAACGGCAAAAGGAAGACACGCCCCCGCAAGACGAGGGGCCAGAUUUCGGCAGACCAUUCACGUACAUGUCGUGCGCCCGCGCCUUUGGCCCGACCAAGCAAGCGAGCGCGCGCUCCUCUCAUCCAUGACUUGGUGAGUGAGUGUAGCC